GGAUCAGUGUGUUGGUCAUGCCUUACGGGGUAUGAACUGGCAUCAUCGAUUUCUCACCUUCUAGAGAAUCGUGAUGCCCUUUAUUGGGUGUUACAUGGAUCCAGGAUCUUUACCUUGAAAAAAUUAGAGUGUUUAAAGCAGGCAUUAUUGCUCGAAUACAUUAGCAUGGAAUAAUAAAAUAGGAUGGUUUGGUUCUAUUUUGUUGGUUUCUAGGAUCACUGUA
rnacentral:rRNA from 1 species